ACAAACCAAAAAAGUAAAUUUAUUUAAAUUACUAAAAUAGCUUUUAAAGUCAUUUACAGAUUAGCUGCUACAAUUAUUUUUCCUGAUAUAAAAAAUCAAGAAUAUCUGACUUCUGACAGUGUCGGGAACAAAUUAUAAUAAGUAGUAUAAAUUUAUGAAUAUUGGUAGUCCUAGUGGGAAGAAAUAAGACCAUACUCUACCAUCAGUUAGGGAUCCUCAAAAGGUAAAUGA
rnacentral:lncRNA from 1 species